GGGCGAAUAGCUCAGUUGGGAGAGCGUCUGACUUACAUUCAGAAGGUCACAGGUUCGAGUCCUGUUUCGCCCA
rnacentral:tRNA from 1 species